AUUGAACGCUGGCGGAAAGCUUUACACAUGCAAGUCGAACGGUAGAGGGGGGCAACCCCCUUGAGAGUGGCGAACGGGUGAGUAAUAUAUCGGAACGUGCCCAGUCGUGGGGGAUAACGUAGCGAAAGCUACGCUAAUACCGCAUACGAUCUAUGGAUGAAAGCGGGGGAUCGCAAGACCUCGCGCGAUUGGAGCGGCCGAUAUCAGAUUAGGUAGUUGGUGAGGUAAAGGCUCACCAAGCCGACGAUCUGUAGCUGGUCUGAGAGGACGACCAGCCACACUGGGACUGAGACACGGCCCAGACUCCUACGGGAGGCAGCAGUGGGGAAUUUUGGACAAUGGGCGCAAGCCUGAUCCAGCAAUGCCGCGUGCAGGAUGAAGGCCU
rnacentral:rRNA from 1 species